UGGGGGAAGUUUUUCCGUCAAUGGGCGAAAGCCUGAUGGAGCAAUGCCGCGUGGAGGUGGAAGGCCUACGGGUCGUCAACUUCUUUUCUCGGAGAAGAAACAAUGACGGUAUCUGAGGAAUAAGCAUCGGCUAACUCUGUGUCAG
rnacentral:rRNA from 1 species